rnacentral:misc_RNA from 1 species
AUAUCUCAACCUCAAAAUUCUUUUGUUUUUUUGAAGGCUUGGAUGGUGGAGGCUCAUGCUGGUGAAUAUAACUGGCUCCUCUUAAAUGCAUUAGCGGAACGUUUAUGAAUCGGCUUUGGUUUGAUAAUUAAAUCUAUGCCAUCGCUGAGGAGUUUGGUGUGUCUGCUUCUAACUGUCCUCUGGACUGCCUUCUUUGGCAUCACAUUUUAA